rnacentral:rRNA from 1 species
AUGAACGUUGGCGGCGUGGAUUAGGCAUGCAAGUCGCGCGAGAACCCGCAAGGGGGACAGCGGCGAAAGGGACAGUAAUAUGUAGAUCAUCUGCCCUCAGGUCCGGGAUAGCCGCGGGAAACUGCAGGUAAUACCGGAUGAUAUCUCCGGAUCAAAGGUGUGAUUCCGCCUGAGGAUGAGUCUGCAUCCUAUUAGCUUGUUGGUAGGGUAACGGCCUACCAAGGCAAUGAUGGGUAGCGGGGUGUGAGAGCACGACCCGCGUCACUGGGACUGAGACACUGCCCAGACACCUACGGGUGGCUGCAGUCGAGAAUCUUCGGCAAUGGGCGCAAGCCUGACCGAGCGACGCCGCGUGUGGGAUGAAGGCCUUCGGGUUGUAAACCACUGUCGGAGGGGAGGAAAUACACGUGGGUUCUCUCACGUGCUUGACCUAGCCUCGGAGGAAGGACGGGCUAAGUUCGUGCCAGCAGCCGCGGUAAGACGAACCGUCCGAACGUUAUUCGGAAUUACUGGGCUUAAAGGGUGCGUAGGCGGCGCAGAAAGUAGGGUGUGAAAUCCCUCGCUUAACCGAGGAACCGCGCUCUAAACUACUGUGCUUGAGGGAGAUAGAGGUAAGCGGAACUUAGGGUGGAGCGUGAAAUGCGUUGAUAUCCUAAGGAACACCGGUGGCGAAAGCGGCUUACUGGAUCUCUUCUGACGCUGAUGCCGAAAGCUAGGGUAGCGAACGGGAUUAGAUACCCCGGGUAGUCCUAGCCGUAAACGAUGAGCACUGGAUUGGAGGGCCCUCCAUAGCCUUCCAAUCGAAGCGAAAGUGUUAAGUGCUCCGCCUGGGAGUAUGGUCGCAAGGCUGAAACUCAGAGGAAUUGACGGGGGCUCACACAAGCGGUGGAGGAUGUGGCUUAAUUCGAGGCUACGCGAAGAACCUUAUCCUAGUCUUGACUAUGCAUGGAUUAACCCCUGGAAACAGGGGCCACGCCUUCGGUUGGAACAUGCACAGGUGCUGCAUGGCUGUCGUCAGCUCGUGUCGUGAGAUGUCGGGUUAAGUCCCUUAACGAGCGAAACCCUUGUCACUAGUUGCCAGCGCGUCAUGGCGGGGGACUCUAGUGAGACUGCCGGUGUUAAACCGGAGGAAGUGGGGAUGACGUCAAGUCCUCAUGGCUCUUAUGAUUAGGAGCUGCACACGUCCUACAAUGGCAUGUACAAAGGGAAGCGAACUCGUGAGAGCAAGCAAAUCUCAAAAAAAACAUGCCCCAGGUUCGGAUUGCAGGCUGCAACUCGCCUGCAUUGAAGCCGGAAUCGCUAGUAAUCGCGGGUCAGCAUACCGCGGUGAAUGUGUUCCUGAGCCUGUACACACCGCCCGUCAAGCCACGAAAGUGGGGGGCAUCCGAAGUCGCUAAGACAACCGUAAGGAGUCAGGGCGCCUAAGAUGAACUCCGCGAUUGGGACU